rnacentral:rRNA from 1 species
UACGUAGGGUGCGAGCGUUAAUCGGAAUUACUGGGCGUAAAGCGUGCGCAGGCGGUUUUGUAAGUCAGAUGUGAAAGCCCCGGGCUUAACCUGGGAAUGGCAUUUGGGGCUGCAAGGCUUGAGUGCGGCAGAGGAGACUGGAAUUCCUGGUGUAGCAGUGAAAUGCGUAGAUAUCAGGAGGAAUACCGAUGGCGAAGGCAGGUCUCUGGGCUGACACUGACGCUCAUGCACGAAAGCGUGGAGAGCAAACAGG